rnacentral:snRNA from 1 species
GUCCCUUUGGGGACAUCUGAUCAAAUUGGAACGAUACAGAGAAGAUCAGCAUGGCCCCUGCACAAGGAUGACACACAAAUCGAGAAAUGGUUCAAAAAUUUUU